rnacentral:rRNA from 1 species
ACAGUGGCGCACGGGUGAGUAACGCGUGGAUAAUCUACCCAUUGGUUCGGAAUAACAGUUGGAAACGACUGAUAAUACUGGAUAAUAUGGCAACGUUAAAGGUGGCCUCUGCUUGCAAGCUACUGCCAAUGGAUGAGUCCGCGUCUCAUUAGCUAGACGGUAGGGUAACGGCCUACCGUGGCAACGAUGAGUAGCAGGCCUGAGAGGGUGGCCUGCCACACUGGGACUGGAACACGGCCCAGACUCCUACGGGAGGCAGCAGUGGGGAAUAUUGCGCAAUGGGGGAAACCCUGACGCAGCGACGCCGCGUGGAGGAUGAAGGUUUUCGGAUCGUAAACUCCUGUCAGAAGGGAAGAAACCUGCAAAAAGUAAUAUGUUUUGCAGCUGACGGUACCUUCAGAGGAAGCACCGGCUAAUUC